rnacentral:rRNA from 1 species
GAUUUCUGGUUCGGCGCAUUUGGCCCGCCUCGGUUUACGGGGUUGUGUGCCGGUAUGCGCCAUCCAUCCUUCAUAUGAACGAUUCUACCCUUCACUGGGUCGGAGUCGCUGAUUAUGAUCUUUUACUUUGAAAAAAUUAGAGUGUUUAAAGCAGGCUUGCGCUAUGAAUACAUUAGCAUGGAAUAAUAAUUUAGGACUUUGGUCUUAUUUUGUUGGUUUCUAGGACUAAAGUAAUGAUUGAUAGGGACAGUUGGGGGUGCUAGUAUUCAGCGGCCAGAGGUGAAAUUCUUGGAUUCGCUGAAGACUAACUUAUGCGAAAGCAUU